rnacentral:rRNA from 1 species
GACGAACGCUGGCGGCGUGCCUAAUACAUGCAAGUCGAACGAGAGCGACCGGUGCUUGCACUGGUCAAUCUAGUGGCGAACGGGUGAGUAACACGUGGGUAACCUGCCCAUCAGAGGGGGAUAACAUCCGGAAACGGAUGCUAAAACCGCAUAGGUCUUCGAGCCGCAUGGCUUGAAGAGGAAAAGAGGCGCAAGCUUCUGCUGAUGGAUGGGCCCGCGGUGCAUUAGCUAGUUGGUGAGGUAACGGCUCACCAAGGCCGUGAUGCAUAGCCGACCUGAGAGGGUGAUCGGCCACAUUGGGACUGAGACACGGCCCAAACUCCUACGGGAGGCAGCAGUAGGGAAUCUUCCGCAAUGGACGCAAGUCUGACGGAGCAACGCCGCGUGAGUGAAGAAGGUUUUCGGAUCGUAAAACUCUGUUGUUAGAGAAGAACAAGUGCUAGAGUAACUGUUAGCGCCUUGACGGUAUCUAACCAGAAAGCCACGGCUAACUACGUG